rnacentral:rRNA from 1 species
CCCUUAGAUGUUCUGGGCUGCACGCGCGCGACAAUGACGUUUGCAACGAGAUUGCGAGGCCGUCAGGUCGAGCUGAUCUUGCAAGCUGCGUCGUGAUAGGGACAGUCGAUUGCAAUUAUUCGACUCGAACGAGGAAUUCCUUGUAAUCGCGCAUCAUCAGUGCGCGCUGAAUACGUCCCUGCCCUUUGUACACACCGCCCGUCGCUACUACCGAUCGGAUGGUUUAGUGAGACCCUCGGACUGGUCCCGCUGUCGGACAGGCAACUGUUUGCAGCGCGUGCGCCGGGAAGAAGGUCGAACUUGACUAUCUAGAGGAAGUAAAAGUCGUAACA